CGGUAAGGCUCCAGCUUGCUGGGGUACACGAGUGGCGAACGGGUGAGGUAACACGUGGGUGACCUGCCCUGCACUUCGGGAUAAGCCUGGGAAACUGGGUCUAAUACCGGAUAGGACCGCACCGUGAGGGUGUGGUGGAAAGUUUUUUCGGUGUGGGAUGGGCCCGCGGCCUAUCAGCUUGUUGGUGGGGUAAUGGCCUACCAAGGCGGCGACGGGUACCGGCCUGAGAGGGUGGACGGCCACAUUGGGACUGAGACACGGCCCAGACUCCUACGGGAGGCAGCAAGUGGGGAAUAUUGCACAAUGGGCGGAAGCCUGAUGCAGCGACGCCGCGUGGGGGAUGACGGCCUUCGGGUUGUAAACUCCUUUCACCAUCGACGAAGGGUUUCUGACGGUAGGUGGAGAAGAAGCACCGGCUAACUACGUGCCAGCAGCCGCGGUAAUACGUAGGGUGCGAGCGUUGUCCGGAAUUACUGGGCGUAAAGAGCUCGUAGGUGGUUUGUCGCGUCGUCUGUGAAAUUCCGGGGCUUAACUCCGGGCGUGCCAGGCGAUACGGGCAUAACUUGAGUACUGUAGGGGAGACUGGAAUUCCUGGUGUGGCGGUGAAAUGCGCAGAUAUCAGGAGGAACACCGGUGGCGAAGGCGGGUCUCUGGGCAGUAACUGACGCUGAGGAGCGAAAGCAUGGGGAGCGAACAGGAUUAGAUACCCUGGUAGUCCAUGCCGUAAACGGUGGGCGCUAGGUGUGGGUUUCCUUCCACGGGAUCCGUGCCGUAGCUAACGCAUUAAGCGCCCCGCCUGGGGAGUACGCCGCAAGG
rnacentral:rRNA from 1 species